GAUUCGAGGAAGUGCGAUUCUCAGAUUGUCCAGAUAUGAGAAAGGCUUCCGCGGCGGCAACGUUCGGAGGCUU
rnacentral:antisense_RNA from 3 species